AACAAAAGGACGUUGGCAUCCAAUCAGGAUUGAGGCUGUUGUGGGCGGGUCCGGUAAAAGCAACAGCCAAUGACAGAACAGGAGCGAAGUUAAGCGUGAGAAAGCCAGCCCAAAGAAAGCAGCUCUUCAGUCUCAGCAGGAGCCAGAGAAUUUGCGGUCAGAAAGCCAGUAUGGAAAAUUUUGACAGCUGUCAGGAAGGAGGUUAUUGAAUUCAUUGGAGAAUGAGUGCUGUCCUAAAUUUGAAUUCAUCAAGUUCCUCCUUACCUGUGUCAUCUGUGAGAGAAAUGUUGGUGAAUGUGCUGUCCUCCUCUUCCUCUUUGCUGGACCCGUCCAUCUUGUUUACU